rnacentral:rRNA from 1 species
UUUUUUUCUGUAGCAAUACAGGGAAAAGUCUAGCGGCGAACGGGUGCUUAACACGUGGGCAAUCUGUCUUAAAGUGGGGGAUAGCUCGGCGAAAGCCGAAUUAAUACCGCAUGUGAUUAGAGUGGACAUCCAUUCAAAAUCAAAGUCGGGGCAACCUGACGCUUUUCGAGGAGCCCGCGGCCUAUCAGCUAGUUGGUGAGGUAACGGCUCACCAAGGCUUUGACGGGUAGCUGGUCUGAGAGGACGACCAGCCACACUGGGACUGAGACACGGCCCAGACACCUACGGGUGGCAGCAGUCGAGAAUUUUUCUCAAUGGGGGAAACCCUGAAGGAGCGACGCCGCGUGGAGGAUGAAGGUCUUCGGGUUGUAAACUCCUGUCAUUUGGGAACAAUGCGCAAAUAUUAACUGUAUUUGCGUUGAUAGUACCAGAAGAGGAAGAGACGGCUAACUCUGUGCCAGCAGCCGCGGUAAUACAGAGGUCUCAAGCGUUGUUCGGAUUCAUUGGGCGUAAAGGGUGCGUAGGCGGCGCGGUAAGUCGGGUGUGAAAUCUCGGAGCUUAACUCCGAAACUGCAUUCGAUACUGCCGUGCUUGAGGACUGGAGAGGAGACUGGAAUUUACGGUGUAGCGGUGAAAUGCGUAGAUAUCGUAAGGAAGACCAGUGGCGAAGGCGGGUCUCUGGACAGUUCCUGACGCUGAGGCACGAAGGCCAGGGGAGCAAACGGGAUUAGAUACCCCGGUAGUCCUGGCAGUAAACGGUGCACGUUUGGUGUGGGAGGAUUC